GCCCCAAAGUGAGGAAUAAGCCACCCGAAAGGUGGUCUAAUACUUCAUAAUAUCCAUCUCGUAUGGAUUAAAGCUUUAUGCGCUUUGGGAGGGGCCUGCGUAACAUUAGCUUGUUGGUGAGGUAAAAGCUCACCAAGGCUUCGAUGUUUAACUGGUUUGAGAGGAUGACCAGUCACACUGGGACUGAGAUACGGCCCAGACUCCUACGGGAGGCAGCAGUAAGGAAUCUUCCACAAUGGGGGCAACCCUGAUGGAGCAAUACCGCGUGCAGGAUGAAGCGUUUCGGCGUGUAAACUGCUUUUAUCACCGAAGAUUAUGACUGUAGGUGAAGAAUAAGGACCGGCUAACUACGUG
rnacentral:rRNA from 1 species